rnacentral:sRNA from 1 species
ACCCACCAAAAAAAAAGAGAGAGAGAGAAAGCGACUUUGUUCUGCAAACGUUGGCCUAAGCUUUGAAAACCAUGAGCCAUUGAGUUUUGUGAAUUCAAGUUAGACAGUAACAGAGGCCAAGACUCUAAGCGAACAAUAUCUGAAAAGGAAGUGCACAAAAACAGGAGAAGAUGGUAUAAACUGGUUCAUCAGUGACAAAGACAUUGAGGCCCAGAUAGCUAAUAACCGAACACCUGGAAGAUGGACCCAGCGGUACUAUUCAGCCAACAAAAACAUUAUCUGUAGAAAUUGUGACAAACGUGGCCAUUUAUCAAAAAACUGCCCCUUACCACGAAAAGUUCGUCGCUGCUUCCUGUGCUCCAGGAGAGGACAUCUCCUGUAUUCCUGUCCAGCCCCCCUUUGCGAAUACUGUCCUGUGCCUAAGAUGUUGGACCACUCAUGUCUUUUCAGACAUUCCUGGGAUAAACAGUGUGACCGAUGUCAUAUGCUAGGCCACUAUACAGAUGCUUGCACAGAAAUCUGGAGGCAGUAUCACCUAACGACCAAACCUGGACCACCCAAAAAGCCGAAGACCCCUUCAAGACCAUCAGCCUUAGCAUAUUGCUAUCACUGCGCGCAAAAAGGCCAUUAUGGACACGAAUGUCCAGAAAGAGAAGUGUAUGACCCGUCUCCAGUAUCUCCAUUCAUCUGCUACUAUGAUGACAAAUAUGAAAUUCAGGAGAGAGAAAAG